rnacentral:rRNA from 1 species
UACGGAGGGUGCAAGCGUUAUCCGGAUUCACUGGGUUUAAAGGGGGCGUAGGCGGGCAGGUAAGUCAGUGGUGAAAUCUCCGAGCUUAACUCGGAAACUGCCAUUGAUACUAUUUGUCUUGAAUAUUGUGGAGGUAAGCGGAAUAUGUCAUGUAGCGGUGAAAUGCUUAGAUAUGACAUAGAACACCAAUUGCGAAGGCAGCUUACUACACAAUGAUUGACGCUGAGGCACGAAAGCGUGGGGAGCAAACAGG